GGGGGGGGGGGGGGGGGGGGGGGGUGGGGGCGCGUGGGGGGCGGGGGUUGUAGGGUGGCUGGCUGCGCCAUAGGCGGGGAGUUGCGGACGGGUGAGUAACGCGUAGGUAACCUGCCUGGUCGCGGGGGAUGACGAUUGGAGACGAUAGCUAAUACCGCAUACUAUUACUUAUUGCAUGCUAAUUGAUUGAAAGAUUCACCUGCAUCCCUACCAGAUGAACCUGAGUUGUAUUCGCUAGUAGGUGAGGUACCGGCUCACCUAGGCGACGAUACAUAGCCGACCUGAGAGGGUGAUCGGCCACACUGGGACUGAGACACGGCCCAGACUCCUACGGGAGGCAGCAGUAGGGAAUCUUCGGCAAUGGACGAAAGUCUGACCGAGCAACGCCGCGUGAGUGAAGAAGGUUUUCGGAUCGUAAAGCUCUGUUGUAAGAGAAGAACGGGUGUGAGAGUGGAAAGUUCACACUGUGACGGUAUCUGACCAGAAAGGGACGGCUAACUACGUG
rnacentral:rRNA from 1 species